UACGUAGGGGGCGAGCAUUGUCCGGAGUUACUGGGCGUAAAGCGCACGCAGGCGGUCUGCUAAGUUUGGAGUGACAGUUGGUGGCUUAACUGCCAAAGUGCUUCGAAAACUGACAGACUUGAGGGCUUCAGAGGGACACGGAAUUCCGGGUGGAGUGGUGAAAUGCGUAGAGAUCCGGAGGAACACCAAAGGCGAAGGCAGUGUCCUGGGGAGUACCUGACGCUCAGGUGCGAAAGCCAGGGGAGCGAACGGG
rnacentral:rRNA from 1 species